rnacentral:rRNA from 1 species
GGUUAAGCGACUAAGCGUACACGGUGGAUGCCCUGGCAGUCAGAGGCGAUGAAGGACGUGCUAAUCUGCGAAAAGCGUCGGUAAGGUGAUAUGAACCGUUAUAACCGGCGAUGUCCGAAUGGGGAAACCCAGUGCAAUUCGUUGCACUAUCGUUAACUGAAUACAUAGGUUAACGAGGCGAACCGGGGGAACUGAAACAUCUAAGUACCCCGAGGAAAAGAAAUCAACCGAGAUUCCCCCAGUAGCGGCGAGCGAACGGGGAGCAGCCCAGAGUCUGAAUCAGCUUGUGUGUUAGUGGAACGGUCUGGAAAGUCCGACGGUACAGGGUGAUAGUCCCGUACACCAAAAUGCACAGGCUGUGAACUCGAAGAGUAGGGCGGGACACGUGGUAUCCUGUCUGAAUAUGGGGGGACCAUCCUCCAAGGCUAAAUACUCCUGACUGACCGAUAGUGAACCAGUACCGUGAGGGAAAGGCGAAAAGAACCCCGGCGAGGGGAGUGAAAAAGAACCUGAAACCGUGUACGUACAAGCAGUGGGAGCACCUUCGGGUGUGACUGCGUACCUUUUGUAUAAUGGGUCAGCGACUUAUAUUCUGUAGCAAGGUUAACCGUAUAGGGGAGCCGCAGGGAAACCGAGUCUUAACUGGGCGUUAAGUUGCAGGGUAUAGACCCGAAACCCGGUGAUCUAGCCAUGGGCAGGUUGAAGGUUGGGUAACACUAACUGGAGGACCGAACCGACUAAUGUUGAAAAAUUAGCGGAUGACUUGUGGCUGGGGGUGAAAGGCCAAUCAAACCGGGAGAUAGCUGGUUCUCCCCGAAAGCUAUUUAGGUAGCGCCUCGUGAACUCAUCUUCGGGGGUAGAGCACUGUUUCGGCUAGGGGGUCAUCCCGACUUACCAACCCGAUGCAAACUACGAAUACCGAAGAAUGUUAUCACGGGAGACACACGGCGGGUGCUAACGUCCGUCGUGAAGAGGGAAACAACCCAGACCGCCAGCUAAGGUCCCAAAGUCAUGGUUAAGUGGGAAACGAUGUGGGAAGGCACAGACAGCCAGGAUGUUGGCUUAGAAGCAGCCAUCAUUUAAAGAAAGCGUAAUAGCUCACUGGUCGAGUCGGCCUGCGCGGAAGAUGUAACGGGGCUAAACCAUGCACCGAAGCUGCGGCAGCGACACUAUGUGUUGUUGGGUAGGGGAGCGUUCUGUAAGCCUGCGAAGGUGUGCUGUGAGGCAUGCUGGAGGUAUCAGAAGUGCGAAUGCUGACAUAAGUAACGAUAAAGCGGGUGAAAAGCCCGCUCGCCGGAAGACCAAGGGUUCCUGUCCAACGUUAAUCGGGGCAGGGUGAGUCGACCCCUAAGGCGAGGCCGAAAGGCGUAGUCGAUGGGAAACAGGUUAAUAUUCCUGUACUUGGUGUUACUGCGAAGGGGGGACGGAGAAGGCUAUGUUAGCCGGGCGACGGUUGUCCCGGUUUAAGCAUGUAGGCUGGUUGUCCAGGCAAAUCCGGAUAAUCAAGGCUGAGGUGUGAUGACGAGGCACUACGGUGCUGAAGUAACAAAUGCCCUGCUUCCAGGAAAAGCCUCUAAGCAUCAGGUAACAUCAAAUCGUACCCCAAACCGACACAGGUGGUCAGGUAGAGAAUACCAAGGCGCUUGAGAGAACUCGGGUGAAGGAACUAGGCAAAAUGGUGCCGUAACUUCGGGAGAAGGCACGCUGGUGUGUAGGUGAAGCCCCUGCGGGUGGAGCUGAGACCAGUCGAAGAUACCAGCUGGCUGCAACUGUUUAUUAAAAACACAGCACUGUGCAAACACGAAAGUGGACGUAUACGGUGUGACGCCUGCCCGGUGCCGGAAGGUUAAUUGAUGGGGUUAUCCGUAAGGAGAAGCUCUUGAUCGAAGCCCCGGUAAACGGCGGCCGUAACUAUAACGGUCCUAAGGUAGCGAAAUUCCUUGUCGGGUAAGUUCCGACCUGCACGAAUGGCGUAAUGAUGGCCAGGCUGUCUCCACCCGAGACUCAGUGAAAUUGAACUCGCUGUGAAGAUGCAGUGUACCCGCGGCAAGACGGAAAGACCCCGUGAACCUUUACUAUAGCUUGACACUGAACAUUGAGCCUUGAUGUGUAGGAUAGGUGGGAGGCUUUGAAGCGUGGACGCCAGUCUGCGUGGAGCCAACCUUGAAAUACCACCCUUUAAUGUUUGAUGUUCUAACGUUGGCCCCUGACCGGGGUUGCGGACAGUGUCUGGUGGGUAGUUUGACUGGGGCGGUCUCCUCCCAAAGCGUAACGGAGGAGCACGAAGGUUAGCUAAUCCUGGUCGGACAUCAGGAGGUUAGUGCAAUGGCAUAAGCUAGCUUGACUGCGAGCGUGACGGCGCGAGCAGGUGCGAAAGCAGGUCAUAGUGAUCCGGUGGUUCUGAAUGGAAGGGCCAUCGCUCAACGGAUAAAAGGUACUCCGGGGAUAACAGGCUGAUACCGCCCAAGAGUUCAUAUCGACGGCGGUGUUUGGCACCUCGAUGUCGGCUCAUCACAUCCUGGGGCUGAAGUAGGUCCCAAGGGUAUGGCUGUUCGCCAUUUAAAGUGGUACGCGAGCUGGGUUUAGAACGUCGUGAGACAGUUCGGUCCCUAUCUGCCGUGGGCGCUGGAGAAUUGAGGGGGGCUGCUCCUAGUACGAGAGGACCGGAGUGGACGCAUCACUGGUGUUCGGGUUGUCAUGCCAAUGGCACUGCCCGGUAGCUAAAUGCGGAAGAGAUAAGUGCUGAAAGCAUCUAAGCACGAAACUUGCCCCGAGAUGAGUUCUCCCUGAGACUUUAAGUCUCCUGAAGGAACGUUAAAGACGAUGACGUUGAUAGGCCGGGUGUGUAAGCGCAGCGAUGCGUUGAGCUAACCGGUACUAAUGAACCGUGAGGCUUAACCUU